rnacentral:lncRNA from 1 species
GCAAUCAAAAGAGUUUUUCACUCCACAUUUGAGUUCAUAAGUGUUCUUGCUUCUAAACUUCCAAAGUUCUCAAGUGUUCUAGCUUUCCAAAGCUUCAAAAGCUCUCCAACUUCUUUUUCUAAUCUUCUUGUUCAUCUCUACAAGAAGUUUCUACUCCUCUAAUCAUCUCUUGUGUGUGUCCACUUUGGUUGAGAGGUUUGUCUCAAGAUCACCAAAGUGUGAGAAAAGGUUUUUGAGCUAAACUAAAAAACUCUAAGUUUGGUUUUAUAGAGUUUCCGGGAAAACUCUUAGAUCGAAUCUACCUUGAAAGAUAGAUUUUUAGGUUUUUAAGAGUUCCUUGAUACUUUAAGGUGUUAACCUACCCAUAAAGUUAAGAGGUUUUUAAGAGUUCCAUAAUACUCUAAAGUGUAAGUCUACCCGUAAAAGACUGGUUCCUAAACGAAGUUAACCUUAAAGCUUAGAGAGGUUUUUAAGAGUUCAUUGAUACUCUAAGGCACUAACUUACCCGUAAAAGUUAGAGGUUUUUAAAAGUUCCAUAAUACUCUAAGGUGUGAGUCUACCCGUAAAAGACUGGUUCCUAAGCGAAGUUAGCCUUAAAGCUUAGAUAGGUUUUUAAGAGUUUCCUUGAUACUCUAAGGUUUUGCCAUAACCUUUAGGCUAGUGAAUUCCGAUAGUAUGUCGGGACUGGAUUAGCCCUUGUUUGGGUGAACUAGUAUAAAUUCUCUUGUGUUGUUCUUUGUUAACUUUAGUUUUUAUCUUUCAUCUAAAAACAACUAAACAACACUUAAUUGAAAAGGAUCCUUCUUCCAGUUAUCUGGUCAAAUACAGAGGUUGACUACUUUACGCAGAUCUCUCAUCCAGUUAUCUGGUCAACUAUCUGAGGUUAUAUUCAUUGCGUUAAAUCUUUGUUCAGAUAUUUGUUCAAGCAUUUACUAAUCAAAUAUAUAUCCAGUUAUCUGAUCAUUUACUCUAUAACUUGUUUAUCAAAUAUAUAUCCAAUUAUCUGAUCAUUUACUUUAUAAUAUAACUUGUGUUUAUAAUAUAACUUAGUAUUCAUAUACUACAGUUAUUUAUAAAACACUAUCUAAUAAGUUAACUCAAUAUUCAUAUAAGCUUUGAAGAGAAAGAGGCAAAGUUAUAAAUAUAUAUAUAUAAUAUUAUAUUGUAAAAUAUAAUAUUAUAAUCAUUUAAAGUUAUAAUAUUCUUAUAUUAUUGUUGUUCAACCAUUUGUAUCUUAAGUGUUUACAGGUAAUUCCGUUAUUAACCUGUAUAAAUCGAAAAGAUGCUAUUAUCCCCUCUUAUAGCUUCGGAUCACGAUCCAACAAAAUGAAGGUCUAUACCAACUUCCGAUGAAGAUGGAGAUAAAUAAAAUACCAGAAGCAUUAUCAAGUGAGCGGGUAUCAAACGAUCAAUGGCAUUCUAGGCUUGGACAUUUACACAAUCAGGCGAACAAACAAAUGGUUUCUAAAUCUAUAAUAUCAUCAAAUUGUAACAAAAUUUUGAGUUGUGAGUCAUGUAUGAUUAAUAAAUCAAGUUCUUCACCUCAUAAAACAAGUACUAGAAUAUAUUCAACUCCACUCAACGGGUAUAUACAGACAUUUGGGGGUCGGUCUCAAUCAUAUUAUCAGAAGGGUUCAAGUAUUAUAUAAAUUUUGUUGAAGCAACCACCCAUUUUAAUUGAGUGUUUCCACUAAGAAGCAAGCCUGAGGUAACUCGAUCAGAUAUUUGAGAAAUUCACAAGUUAAGUGGGACGAAAUUAUUGUACUCCUCUGCUUAUUAUCCCCAAACUGAUGGCC